ensembl:snRNA U6 U6 spliceosomal RNA
GUGCUCAUUUCACAAAAUAUAUAUGUAAUAUUUAAAUGUUACAGAGAAGAUUAUCAUGGUCUCUGCACAAGAACGGCACGAAAAUUUGUGAGGUGCUCCAUAUUUUU